GACGAACGCUGGCGGCGUGCUUAACACAUGCAAGUCGAACGGAAAGGCCCUGCUUUUGUGGGGUGCUCGAGUGGCGAACGGGUGAGUAACACGUGAGUAACCUGCCCUUGACUUUGGGAUAACUUCAGGAAACUGGGGCUAAUACCGGAUAGGAGCUCCUGCUGCAUGGUGGGGGUUGGAAAGUUUCGGCGGUUGGGGAUGGACUCGCGGCUUAUCAGCUUGUUGGUGGGGUAGUGGCUUACCAAGGCUUUGACGGGUAGCCGGCCUGAGAGGGUGACCGGCCACAUUGGUCCUGAGAUACGGCCCAGACUCCUACGGGAGGCAGCAGUGGGGAAUAUUGCACAAUGGGCGGAAGCCUGAUGCAGCAACGCCGCGUGCGGGAUGACGGCCUUCGGGUUGUAAACCGCUUUCGCCUGUGACGAAGCGUGAGUGACGGUAAUGGGUAAAGAAGCACCGGCUAACUACGUG
rnacentral:rRNA from 1 species